AGUGUUGAAAGUUCUCUUUGUCUUGGGUACAACAAAGAACUUUUGAUUGGUAUUACAGGGAUUGUGACGACCCCAAAUCCAGGUACUUGAAACCCGAACUCGGUUCUCCACGAUACCAUUUCUUUAAGCUGAAUAAUACUAAAAUAAUAAUACAUUCGAACUUAAUUUACAUACAUCAAAGUUUACUUCCCCAGGUACGUGACCUUCAAAUACAUUCCUUACAAUACUUGAAUAGAUACCAAUACAACUAUAACCAUUAACUCAUAAUACACACUUAUUCGAUCAGCUUUCCUUUUCCUUUGUUCGUGCCUGAGCCUUCAGGUUGCUCAUACAUAACUGAAAACAUUUAAUUUAAGCAAGGAUGAGCAUUUAAGUGCCCAGCAAGUAAUAGCAAUUAUAUAUAAGCUGAAAGAAUAUAAGUAUUCUCUUUACAUAACACUUCUACAACGAAUUGAAAGUUGUGAAGUAAUCUGUACUGAUAAAAAAUUCACAUAACAACUCUCUUUCAAAUUCUUUAAAUUUGGCUCUGGCUCUACCCUUGAAUAGGGUUUAAGAAACAUACUAUGAACAUUCUUUUCAUUUUCGAAAAGGUUUAGCGGAAUUCUAUCCUCAAACCGUCAUAACUUACGGGCACGGAGGGUGAUCAGCCCCGUUGUACCCUGUAUUGAUCAAUACUACAUAACUUGAACGAAAUUCAUCGCUCACUCUAUCCGCCUUGGGCGCAAAAAUCUUCCCAUAUAGGGAUGUUCAUACAUGCCUGGUUCCAAACCCGAAGGUUUUUAAUCUUGCUCAACAAUAAUAUGUAAUUCAACAUAUAUGUAUACGGGUAAUUGACAAAGGUAUAUCAACAUGUGAAUAAAUGCCAUGAUUAUCCAAGUGGGGACACUUGUAUAACCAUUUAGAAAUCAACUUAACAGAAUAUAUAUCUGAGCUAACAUGUUGAUAAUCAAAGCGUACAUAAUCUGUACAGGAAUAGAAUAAUUCUGAAACUUCUUACUCAUGUCCAUUGCAUAAAGGAAAUGCAAAGGUAGGAUACUUGCCUGAUUCGCUGAUUACAAAUCUCAACUUAGGUUUUAUCUCUUUAUCACAACCUAUCAAUAAUCAGAUCAUUCGUUCGAUUAGAACAAUAUAUCUUAACACAUAGUACUGUCUAUUACAGUCAGCACAUAGUCUAAUCACAUAAUCACAGUGAUCAUACUUUUAGUUCCUAUUCUAUACUUGAAAUAUUUUUAUACAUUUUUCAAAUAUCUCAUCCAUGCUCUUACAGUAGUCUUUUCUUUCUUUUAUAAGGUCUGACAUUUGUCGGCGUACCGACAGCUUUAUCGGGUAAAUACUGAGUCUAAGACUCUUAUUCUAUACCUCAACAUCUGUAAAUAUCAGACAUCUUAUUUUUAAUCAUUUUCGCAAUUUCCAGAAAUUGAAAAAUUUAAAAUAAUUCAAAUCUGUCACUAAAGGGCCUAUAGUGAUAUAACUGUUACUAUAGGUGUUCUUCUUCAAAUUCAGAACUUCAUAAUCGGUUCUCAAGUCAGCUAGUUUGGCCGGCUAUAACUUUCAAAUAUCGGAAUCAUAAUUAAAUGAUUUAAACAUUAAACAAUUCCAUUAUCAUUAAUAGUUUAAUUAAUACUAAACUAUUAAUGAAACCAUUGCCAAAAUAUAAAAGUUAUUUAUAAUAACUCAAACUAUUUUUAAAACAUUUAUAUUACCCAAAUAAUUACCAUUAAUAUUUAAAUAUUAAUGUACUAUUUAUCCAAAUAUUAAAAGUCAUUAAUUAUAACUUAAAAUAUUUUUAAAUCCUUAAUAUCCUCUUUAAAUGGUUUUUAAAUAAGUAAAACCAUUUUUAAACUAUUUAUUUAAUAUUAAUCAUUAAAUAAACUAAAUAUCAUUAAUAUUAUCUUAAUAUCAUUAAUAUUUAAUUAUUAAUGAAAUUAUCAUUUAAAUAUUAAAAGUUAUAUUUUAUAACUUAAAAUAUUUUUAAAUACCUUAUUUUCAUUUAAAAUGAUUUUUAUAAUAUUAAAAUCAUUUUUAAACUAAAUUAUUUAAUAUAAUCAUUAAAUAACUUUAAUAUCAUUAAUAAUUAUUAAUUAAUGAAAUUCAUCACAAAAUAUUAAAAGUCAUCACAAAUAACUCAUUUACAUAAUCAAUUCCAAGCCAAAAUAAACAUAGUAAACUAACUAGUUUAUUAACAACACUAACUAAACUUCAAAAAUUCAAACUUUAACUAACAAUUAAAAAUAAUAACAUUACAAAAAUUAAAUAAGAAACAUACCCGGAAAUACGAAUUCCACAGACUGAAUACGCACUUCCACGCCAAAAUUUAACUAAGGAGAUCUUUAUAAAAAGUUCUCCCACAACAAAGCCUUUCUCAAAAAUUGGAGGCCUUAUUGUUGGUGAAUGAAACAAAGGCCAAGCCCUUCUAUUUAUAGGUUUAGAAAAUGGUGAAGUUCUCAAUUUAGUCGAUGUGGGACUUGGUUUAUACUAAUUUUUCAAUAGCUCACUUUGCGAUUUUCUAACGCAUUGCUCAUAACUCCGAUUAAUCUGAUUUUUGGAUAUGUUAUACAUGGUAUGUAAGACUAUUUUUAAAAAAUACGAAUUACCCAAUUCGGGUUCAUUAGGUAGCCCAAACAGUGCGUCAAAAGUGGACGUUCAUAACAGUUUUCAAUCUCGUUUCAGCUUUACCCUCUUUCGCUAAAACAGUCAUAACUCUUUCAUUUUAAAACAUUUUUGAGCGAUUCUUGAGCCCACGCGAAGCUAACUUCUGGGGCUACAACUUUUAUUCUUUGACCAUUUCCAAAUUCCGAACACAUCAGCCCAGAAAUUCCGUUCAAAUGGACUGCACCGCACUUGUUGGGAAGUUUUGACACUACUACUUUGAAAUGUCAUAACUCUCUCCUCCGAUAUCGGAUUUAGUCCGUUUCGGAGUCUAUGGAAAGCUUAUUCGGUGUACUAUAACAUACCAAAAGCCCAGAAGGUUUUGGAAACAUUAACUGAUCGAAACAGUGUCCCGAAUAGCACAUCCCGCUGCUGACUUUCAGUUUUGAGAAAUUUGACACAUUUCCUUCCAAUCACCGUAAUUCCCUCAUCCGAGGUCGGAAUGAGGUCAUUCCAAAGCCUAUGGCUUCCUAACUCAGUGCACUACAACAUAUCAAAAGCCCAGACCUUUUAAAGCACAAAAAGUGGACGAGAAUGCCCCCAUUACAGACUGCCCAAAAACAGUUUAUCAUGAUCGGUCAACCAUGUUUGACCAUCUAUAACUUCUAAUCUAUACAUGAUAUGGACUUGAUUCUUUUUGCAGAUUAAAGACCACAUAUCAGGCUACACAUAACAACUUUUGAAGAACAAAACUCAUGAUCGAGCAAAGAGUUAUGGCCUCUGACAUUUGGGAAAAAAAUAACAGAAUUCGGUUUUUCCAACUUGCUUAAAUCUUCAAAUUCGUGCACUUUGAUGUUAUGGGUCUUUGAUUUAUCAACCCAUAUCAUCAAUUAACAUUCUAUUACACAACUUUAAACAAUCAAUUGCAUCAAAUAACAUCGAAUCAAAGGAUUUCUAGGUUUAGUGUUCUUAUACCCUUUUUGCCAAAAAUUCUUGAUUCUUGCUUCUGAUUUGUUAUGGGUGAUGGUUGGGCUUUGUUUAAGAGUGUAUGGGCAAUCUUGUACAAGGCAAUUAAAUGUAAUAUUUAAUCACUAGAUUUAAUUCUUAUAAUUUACCAAUUAACUUCUAUCCUUUGGUAAAUUAAAACACUUAUACAAUAACAUCGAAAUUAAACCCGGUAAUUAAAAUUAGGGUUUCUCAACGUCAUCAAUUAGGGUUUCUAAUUGACCAUUAGUGGUUCUUUAAUUAUCUGUGUAUGUUACUAACACAGUCGUUACGGUUUCUAAUUUCAACCGGUUAGGGUUAUAAUAAUUAGGGUUUGUCCUAAUUAUCGACGUACAACAGUAAUUAGGGUUUCUUCUAAUUACCGAUAUUCUUAUUCACAGUAACUUCAUAUACACAGUCACUACUCAGAAAUAUCCCAUAACUGAGUUUAAUAAUUAGGGUUUCACAGCACGGUAAUAUGCUAUGACCUAAUUGACCGUCAUUGCUCAAUAUUAUCUGUCCGCACAUACCCAGUACAUAAUUAUGGUACUGUAAAAUCAUUAUAUAAAUAAUAUAAUAUUAUUAUUCUCAUCUCUUGAUCACAAUCCCAAUCCAGGGUUUGGAUCUCAUGUCUGACUUAUUCUUCGUACACAGCAUCAAUAAUCAAGUUAAAAUAAUUAACUUAAAUAUUCUGAACAAUUCAUAUAAUAAAAUAUUUAUUAUAUAAAUCUAAUUAUCACUUCAUAUAUUAUUUCCAAUCAUGUUUUCAUGGAAAAUAAUUAAUAAAAACAUUUCGGCUUACAGAAAUUUAUUACAAUAUAAUUUGUGGUAAUUAAUAAUUCCAAAAUUAUUUCUAAUUUUUCAAGUAAUAAAUGUAUUCGCAUUUAUCGUUCACUUUACUUGACACUUAGUCUCGUCAUUAAAUAAAAAAAAAAAUUUAUACGAAAAUUUCUUAUUUAUUUUAUUUAGAAAAUCUCGGGUUACUACAGGGAUAAAAUAUUAAUGAUGGACUUUUUAAUUUGAAGGAGAUAGUAGACAUUAUGUUCUACUUGACUUCUAAUGGAUUGUUGUUUCCACUGCAGUUGUUGAUCUAAAAUGUGUUGUCUAUUGUAUUCUAUCAGAUUUUUCCCUGUUGAGGACUAAGGAUAAUUUUUUCUAUAUUAUCUUAGUCAUAAUAUUCUUUACUGGGCUAGUUGAGCUCACACUUUUGCUUCACAAUUCCUUUCAGGUAGUAAGAGUGUAGCCGGGUCGAGUGGGAAUAACAGGGGAAUAGGGUGAUGGUCCGAGACUAUGGAAAUUUCCCAAUACAUUAUAAAAUAGCAUAUAAUUGUAUUGAUGACUUAAGAUGUAUGUAUCGUAUUUUAUACGUCACUUAAUAAUUGAUUUUGGUGAACAACAAUAGGGUGAUAAGAACCCGACUUUGAAAGCG
rnacentral:lncRNA from 1 species